UACAGAGGUGGCAAGCGUUGUUCGGAAUUACUGGGCGUAAAGGGCGCGUAGGCGGUUCGAUAAGUCCCGUGUGAAAUCCCUCGGCUCAACUGAGGAACUGCACGGGAAACUGACGGGCUUGAGUUCGGGAGAGGGAAGCGGAAUUCCGGGUGUAGCGGUGAAAUGCGUAGAUAUCAGGAGGAACACCAAUGGCGAAGGCAGCUCGCUGGGACGUGACUGACGCUGAGAAGCGAAAGCAUGGGGAGCGAACAGG
rnacentral:rRNA from 1 species